rnacentral:rRNA from 1 species
UACGUAGGGACCAAGCGUUGUUCGGAUUUACUGGGCGUAAAGGGCGCGUAGGCGGCGCGGUAAGUCACUUGUGAAAUCUCUGAGCUUAACUCAGAACGGCCAAGUGAUACUGCAGUGCUAGAGUGCAGAAAGGGCAAUCGGAAUUCUUGGUGUAGCGGUGAAAUGCGUAGAUAUCAAGAGGAACACCUGAGGCGAAGGCGGGUUGCUAGGCUGACACUGACGCUGAGUGCGCGAAAGCCAGGGAGCAAACGGG